UACGUAGGUGGCGAGCGUUGUCCGGAAUUACUGGGUGUAAAGCGCGUGUAGGCGGGAGGCCAAGUCUGUGGUGAAAUCGCUCGGCUUAACUGGGCGGGGUCCAUGGAAACUGGUCACCUGGAGGUCGGUAGAGACAAGUGGAAUUCCCGGUGUAGUGGUGAAAUGCGUAGAGAUCGGGAGGAACACCAGUGGCGAAGGCGGCUUGCUGGGCCGGACCUGACGCUGAGACGCGAAGGCGUGGGGAGCGAACGGG
rnacentral:rRNA from 1 species